UGGUGAACCAGCGGAGGGAUCAUUACCGAGUUUUCAACUCCCAAACCCUUUUGUGAACAUACCUAUCGUUGCUUCGGCGGACUCGCCCCAGCGUCCGGCCGGCCCCGCGCCGGCCGCGGCCUGGAUCCAGGCGGCCGCCGGAGACCCCAAACUCUGUAUUCUCAGUAUCUUCUGAAUCCGCCGCAAGGCAAAACAAAUGAAUCAAAACUUUCAACAACGGAUCUCUUGGUUCUGGCAUCGAUGAAGAACGCAGCGAAAUGCGAUAAGUAAUGUGAAUUGCAGAAUUCAGUGAAUCAUCGAAUCUUUGAACGCACAUUGCGCCCGCCAGCAUUCUGGCGGGCAUGCCUGUUCGAGCGUCAUUUCAACCCUCGACUUCCCUUUGGGGAAAUCGGCGUUGGGGACCGGCCUAUACCGCCGGCCCCGAAAUGAAGUGGCGGCCCGUCCGCGGCGACCUCUGCGUAGUAAUCCAACUCGCACCGGAACCCCGACGUGGCCACGCCGUAAAACCCCCGACUUCUGAACGUUGACCUCGGAUCA
rnacentral:rRNA from 1 species